AUAAAGACGUAUGAGAAAGGGAGGGUCGAGAGAGGCUUAUUGCACGAUCCACCCAACUCAGGUAAGCUAAUAAAUGCUGCAUAAGAGAGUGGGAGGCCGGCCCCUGCCCAUCUGGAGGUGCACACCCAUUUAGGAACAUAUGCAAAGGGGUAAAGAAAAAAGUUAAUGAAGAACUACCAAAUCCAAUAACUUUGAUUUGUUCGUAUCAUUCUGUCAUCGAUCACUGCUGGGUCAGUUGGUGAGUCACCCCAAAAAAAGCAUCGAGAAAGGUCAAGCAUAUAUGUUUUAUGAAAUGAUCAGCUUUAUGCUAUGCCCUGCAUCGUGUUCGUGUGUGUUUAUUGAGCUUUCUUCACUUCAGCGCCAUGCGCUUUGCUUCGCUUUAAAGAA
rnacentral:lncRNA from 1 species